rnacentral:rRNA from 1 species
CUACGUGCCAGCAGCCGCGGUAAUACGUAGGGGGCAAGCGUUAUCCGGAUUUACUGGGUGUAAAGGGAGCGCAGACGGCGAAGCAAGUCUGAAGUGAAAUGCAUGGGCUCAACCCAUGAAUUGCUUUGGAAACUGUUUGGCUUGAGUGUCGGAGGGGUAAGCGGAAUUCCUAGUGUAGCGGUGAAAUGCGUAGAUAUUAGGAAGAACACCAGUGGCGAAGGCGACUUUCUGGACGAAAACUGACGCUGAGGCGCGAAAGCCAGGGGAGCGAACGGGAUUAGAUACCCCGGUAGUCCUGGCCGUAAACGAUGGGUACUAGGUGUAGGAGGUAUCGACCCCUUCUGUGCCGGAGUUAACGCAAUAAGUACCCCGCCUGGGGAGUACGACCGCAAGGUUGAAACUCAAAGGAAUUGACGGGGGCCCGCACAAGCGGAGGAACAUGUGGUUUAAUUCGAUGAUACGCGAGGAACCUUACCCGGGCUUGAAUUGCAGAGGAAGGAUUUAGAGAUA